rnacentral:lncRNA from 1 species
AUAAUCACCUUCCAUGGAAUCUCACUUUUCGCAAUAAGUUUUGACCCCCACAUCUUCCUUUGCCUUAGCUGCAACACUAGGUUUUGUUCAUUAAGGUUUUCCAAGAAUUCUUGAGGGCACGAACAAUCUAGAUUAAAAGACUCGUCCCAGAUGGGCAAUGAUUUGGUGGAAACAUUUUUGCUGUUAAGUUGAAUACUUUUGUUGUUUCCUGUUGGGAGAUACAACCUUGCAAACAAGUUUUUCGUAGGCUUGAUAAAUUCGAUGUUUCGAGCCUGUAUUAUUCUCAAUUCGCAGCUGAAGUUUACAUAAGCAGAUAUAUGGGAUGGAUCCAUUGAAAAAUUGAUAUUAGCAAGGAUUGUUUCUUGUUAUGUAUUAGCUAGAGAAGAGAGGAAACUAAGGCUAAAAAUAUAUUAUUGUAAGGGUUUGAUUUAUGUUUGAGUUGUUCUAUGUGAUGCAUUAUGUAUGUGUUUGGUUAUGCGUUAAAAAUAAUUGAUUUUGGCAGAAUUGAGUUUGACAGAAUUGAGUUUGGUCAGAAGUGAGUUAAAUAUAAUUGAUUUGUGUUUGGAUACAUUAAUGUAAAAAUGAUUCUCAAUAUUUGAUGUUGUUUGGGUAGUUUGAAUUAAAAUUGCUUUUGGAUGUGCAAUUACCUAAAUGGGUUUUACUUGUAUUUUAAAACUAUAUAUUUCAUUUAUAUUAUAGAUAAUUAUUUAAAUUUAAUAAAUAAUUAAAAGAUUAUUAAAAAAUAUUCAAUAAAAUGUGAUAAUAAUUAUAUUAAAAAAUGGUGCUAUUUAUUAUAAUAAAAUAAAAUAUUUAAAUUUAAUAAACAAUUCUUUGGACGAUAAUUUAAUAAACUCUUUUCUCUCUCUAUUUUUUUCUUUUUUGUUUUACUGUAUUUACAUUGUUUUAAAGGUACUGUAUUUACAUUUAUUAACUAAAAAAUGGGUCUAUUUUAGAUUUAUAAAUGAGUUUAAUUUGUGUAUUUUCAUAAAAUAUUAAACAAAAUUAUUAACAGAAAAGAUCAUAAAUGGGCCGGUGGAUAUUAAAGAGCCCAUCAAUUAUAAUCUUCUUCACCCUAGUGAGAAUGAAGCCGCCACACACACACACAAGACAACACAACAAACACUUGAUGGGGAGAAGAUGAGAACACUCUAGACCAUCGGCUAUAAAUUUCUUUUGCAAACAUUCAUCUCUCAAUUUUCUGCAAUGUUCGACUCUCUCAAGAUGUUUAAUUCCAUGGAUGGCAUCAUCUUUUCUUCUCUUCAAUUCAGUUUUUAGGUUGUCAAAAGUUAUAAUUUCUCAUUUUUGUUCUUAUUGUUGUUUCAGUUGAAGCUUCCAUGGGUGUUUACCAUUCUUCCUCCCCUAGUUUCUUUUUCACCAAAUUUGCAAAUCUAAAAAGAAAGUGUUCCAGAGAAAAUUGAAGCUUGCAUAAAAAAAAAGAGAAAGAAAGUGUUCCAGAAAAUUAAAGGAAUUGAAGUUUGAGGAAAAAUUGGAGUUUGAGACAUGGGUAGUUAGGUAAAAUAUAUUUGUCAAUAAAAACCCAAAUUUCCAAAUUGCUUCUAGUUGACGCAGAAGCUACGUUUUGUGGCUUCAAGUAAACUCACGUUUUGAUGGUAUAAGCACGUUUCAGGAUUUGCUUUUUUGUAUUGCCCAAACAUCACAAAAAGUGACAAAAUCGCGUUUGAUAAAGAAAACUCACGUUUGGAGAGCAGAAACGCUGAACCAAACAUACACUAUAUAGUGGGGGAAAAGUAAUUUGGAAAUGCUUUCCAAGAAUCUGCCCUUAUCCUUGAAAACUAAUAUAAUAUUGGUAUAUGUUAAGUAAAUUGGAAAGCACUUACAUACAUAGUAUUGUAUAAAAUUGUCAAGUAUCUCAGUUGUGCUUCUGUGUGAAUAUUUUAAUGCUUAAUCAUAAAUCAUGCACAUGAGAGAUACCGUUAAAGAUUACAUGUAUUAAAUAAAAUCGGAUUUGGAUGCUCUCUAAUUUUCCCUCAUGUUUUCUUUCCUUUUGCUUAAUUCGAUGGUUAAUACAUGAACGAUGGGAGAGAAUCAACCAAGAUCAACCACUAGCGCUUUAUGGUAUUGACUAUUGAGCAACAAAUUAACAGUAUCUUGGUGCAAUCUGUAACAGGGGACCCCAAAGGUAUAUGAUAAGAAUAAACUACGGUUUUUAGUGAACUAAAGUACUAAAAGGCUUGAAUGCUGCUGGCCUCAACUGACAAUCAUCUAAAAAGCUGGAAAGCUAAGUUGGCAUUCUUAUCAAAUUGACUCACUAUAUAAUGUACAUAACUACAUAUGUUAUUAAUAAAACAUUGCAUAAUUUUCCUACCACUUAGAAAUGCCAAAAUUCGCCAAAUAUCUUUUUGAAAUUUACCAUCUGUUCCGUUUACUCCGUCUAUUUUGAUGAUGUGGCUGUUAACUGCAUACACGCCACAUCACAUGAGGGAGUUAAUUGAUCAUGAUACACGUCACAGGAGGAUAAUCGUCUAAAAUUUACAAAAUCAGGGGCUAAUUGACUAAAAUUAGAGCAAUUAGCCCCUCCAGUUUUGCAAAUUUAGUCAAUUACCCCAUGUGACGUGUAUCCUAAUCAAUCGCCCUUGAGACGUCAUCAAAAGACGGAGUAAACGGAGCAGAGAACAAUUUGAUUGACGUUUAAAAUUUCAAGGAGGUAUUUGCCUAUUUCCAAAUUUCAGGGAAGUAUUUCACAAAUUUUAAAAUUUCAGGAGGAUAAAGUAUUGUCUAUGACAUGUUUUUGUAGGAUAAUGGUCAUUCUCCUUUUUUUUUUCAAUUGACAUUGGACAAAGUCUUACAUGGUUAAUAAUCUUUUAAGAUGAAUUGUUCCAGAGAAUUUGAGUUUAAUUCCCGACUGCGAUAAUUCUUGACCAGAUUUAACUUAUUUCACUGCCGAACUAUGAUUUAUCGAGACAACUUUUCUUGUAAGGAGAGAGGAGAGGGUUAAUUAAAAAAAAAACUCUAUUAUUCCAAAAAAAAAUUCUAUUGUUCCCUCGCGCGCGAACCGUAGCCAAACUAUUAACGAAUUUUGUUCCUCUUCCAUUGAAUCAUCAGUCAUCACCGCCCUUGCUUCAUCGCCCGCAUCCGCAUUGCCGUUCAUAUCUCCGCCGAACUGCUUCUGCUGUUGUUGCUUAUUCCGUUCGUCACUUCCUCAGCCGUCGCUGUUGCAUUUCAAUUAGGUCAAUUUUGGAACCGUUCUAUUCUCUUAACACACACCAGGUAUCGUUUUUUUUUGUUUUUUUGUUUCUUUCUGUUUAUUCAACCAUUGAAUUCAAUGUAUCUUAAUUUAUACCCGAUUAAUUGACAUUGUUAUGAUUUUGAGUAUUUUUUUGGACUUGUAUCUGUGUGUGGUGUAUCCAUUACUGUAUAUUAACAUAUUGGGAUUCAUNNNNNNNNNNNNNNNNNNNNNNNNNNNNNNNNNNNNNNNNNNNNNNNNNNNNNNNNNNNNNNNNNNNNNNNNNNNNNNNNNNNNNNNNNNNNNNNNNNNNNNNNNNNNNNNNNNNNNNNNNNNNNNNNNNNNNNNNNNNNNNNNNNNNNNNNNNNNNNNNNNNNNNNNNNNNNNNNUUUGAGUAUUUUUUUGGACUUGUAUCUGUGUGUGGUGUGGUGUAUCCAUUACUGUAUAUUAACAUAUUGGGAUUCAUAAUUUAAUUAAUCUUAGCAGUGAAAAUCAAACAGCCCUAAAGUUGUUCUCAUACCCUUUCGCUGACAUUUUAUGUUUUGAUUUUAUGAAUUAUAUCGAAUGGUCAAUAUUUACGCAACUUAUAUAUUUCAUAUAUGUAUAUGUGUAAUCUGUGGUAGUUUAUAUAUUUCAUAUAUGUAUAUGUGUAAUCUGUGGUAGUUUUUGUGUAGUUUGGGACUUAAACACACUAUUAUAUAGAUAAGUUGAUUUUCUGUUUAGUUCUCUGAAAUUUUCGCAAAAAAUGACUUUUGGAGUGUGUUAGUGUGUGGAACACAGCCGUCACAUUACUUACUUAUAGUUACUUAUACUAUUGUUUUUAAUAGAUUAAGUAAUUAAUUUAUUAACAUGCCUUACUCAUUUGACUUGUUGUAGUAUUUCUGCUUUGAAUGCAUUGCUUCAGUCAUAAGGUAGAACCAUUUAAGCAUCAUUGGGGUUAUGAAUUCGAAUUGCACUUCUGCUUUAUUUUAUUUUGUUAUGUAUCUGGUUUGCUAUAUUAGGAUCAAAAGUAUACAUAUAAGAACUACUUGAAUAGUUUUGAACCAUUGUUGUGCAUUAUUUUAGCGGAGGUUUUUUCUAAGAACUUAUUGUCACUGUGAUGCACUACAUGUCACACUAUAAUGCUGUUGCUGCUCUUAAUCAUGUCGAGAUUGUGAAAAUUGCAGAGAAGAUAACUAGCACAUCUCACUUUCCAUUCUUUCAUCUGAUUUUUUUUCAACCUUCAUUGAUUGAUUGUUACAAUGGAAGGUGAUUUUGUUUGUUUUGUGUUACUACUUGUAUUAGGAUUUGGUUCACACGACUUGGUUUAUGCACACGUCAACAAGAACUCCCUCCUAUCUUUAUUACAAACAAAAUACAUACUUUAUUACAUUUAAUUAAAUUUCUGUUUGUACAGCUACUGCUAAUCCAUGUGAUUCUAAUAUCCUAUUACUGCUACUUUUCCCCUUCCUAUCCUAAAUAUUCUUAAGGCAUAGCAUACUAAUGUUAGUUGCAGGUGGUUAAUUAAGGCAAAACAACGUUGAUGCUACUGGUCGUGGUUGUGGAGAGUAGAUUUUCGUGCUUACGGUGCUGUCACAACCUGUUAGUGUUGUUGCUGAUCUUGACUCUGGUUAGUUUUCUUUUUAAAAUCUUUUGUAACGUCAAUGCAAAUGUGUUACGAUAAUUAAACUAGCUCGGAAGUUCAAAUUUUUGUACACUCAAGUAAAAGAAUUGUUACUAUACAAGCCUGUUAUGAGUUGGAUAUGUAACAACAAAAUUUUAGAGGAGGUCUUGACAAAAUUUCUAUAGAAAGUCAUACUAACUGACUUAUAUAGUCAAUUUAUGGUUAUAAUUAGUCUCUAAACGUAAUCUUUGCAGAUGUUUAUCUUUUCAGAAGUAGUUAUGGAUCAUAGUUGAAUCAAUACUAAUCGUUUGUGUGAAGAGUGUGAGAAAGGAGCGGAUGAGUUUUUACAACAUUCUUUAAAAAAACUAGAAGUUAAUGCUUUAACACACUAAUCAUAUAUACACAAUCAAUCAAUUAUAAUUUUGUUAAAAAAUCAAUCCAAUACAUGAUAAGCUAAUUAGUUGAUGUUAGUACAUAUAUACAUCUGCAUAAUCUUGCAUCACAAUCAAAAAGCCUCUAAAGCUGCUCCAAGUGCAAAUAUAUCACAAUCUUCAGUAUUGCACCAAGCUUGAUGAUCAUGUCCAUUUUGGCAUCCACACUCAUUCCAAUUAUUCAACCUCCUCUUAUUCUGUUUUUCCAUCUCAGCAACCGAAGUCACUUUUAUUUUAAUCUCCACUUCCACUUCUGGUGUUGUGAACAUACCCUCUUUGUAAUCACUUCCAUCCACCAAAUCCAUUUUCAACCAUCUUUUUUAACUCCAUAUUUUGUGAUUCAAUAAUCACCUUCCAUGGAAUCUCACUUUUCCCAAUAGGUUGUGACCCCCAUAUCUUCUUUUUGCCUUAGCUCUAGAACUAGGCUUUGUUGAUUAAGGUUUUCCAAGAAUUCUUGAGGGCAAGAACAAUCUAGAUUGAAAGAUUCAUCCCAAAAGGGUAAUGAUUUGGUGGAAACAUUUUUACUAUGGAGUUGAAUUCUUUUGUUGUUUCCUGUUGGAAGAUACAAUCUUGCAAACAAGUUUUUUGUGGGCUUGACGAAUUCGAUGUUUCGAGCUUGUAUUAUUCUCAAUUCGCAGCUGAAGUUUACAUAAGUAGAUAUAUGAGAUGAAUCCAUUGAAAAACUGAGAGUAUAGUUGGGAAUAUUUUGUCUAGUUAUGUGUUGUAGCUAGAAAAAGAGAGAGAUGAAAUAAAAGCUAAAGAAUAUGUUUAAGGGGUUUGUUUGAGUUUGAUUUGUUCUAUUCUAUGUGAUUCAUUAUAUAGUGUGGAAAAAAGUGAAUUGGAAAUGCUUUCCAUGAAGCUGUUCUUAUCCUUGAAUAUUAAUAUAUGUUAAGUAAAUUGUAAAGCACUUACAUACAUAGUAUUGUAUAAAAUUGUCAAGUAUCUCAGUUGUUCUUUUGUGUGAAUAUUUUAAUGCUUAAUCAUAAAUCAUGCACAUGAGAGAUACUGUUGAAGAUUACAUGUAUAAAGAAAUCCUUUAGAAUCUGGAAAGGUAGAUUUUCAAAUUUGGCGCUUGCUAGCACGAUAUGGUAUCCUGAUGCAAUCCGUAACAUGGGUCCCCAAAGGUGUUUGAUAAGAAUAAAUAAAGGUUUUUAGUGAACUAAAGUACUAAAAGGCUUGAAUUCUGGCCUCAACUGACAGCCAUCUUAAAAGCUAGAAUGCUCAGUAGGCAUUCUUAUCAAAUUGACUCACUAGUUGUAAUAAUGUACAUAUGUUAAUAAUAAAACAUUGCAUAAUUUUCAUACCACUCAUGAAGCUUAUAAUAUAUUGUCUAUGACAUGUUUUUGUAGGAUAAUGGUCGUUCUCCUUUUUUCAAUUAACAUUGGACAAAGUCUUAUAUAGCUUUCAAUCUAAAUACAAGCAAUGUGCGUGCCUAACUAACGCCUAAACCAGCUAGAACACAUGCACGCCUAUUAUGCGCCUAAAAAAACCGAUCAAAUGAAUCGAGCCGAAAGCGAGUUAAAAGAUUAAUCUUAACAAAUCCUCCCUUAAUUUGAACUUUACAUAAACUGGAAAGAUUAUUUAAUAGUGGUAUAUGUUAAGUAAAUUGGAAAGCACUUAUAUGCAUAGUAUUGUUUAAAAUUGUCAAGUAUCUCAGUUGUGCUUUUGUGUGAAUAUUUUAAUAUCAGCUUAAUCUUAAAUCUGGAACAUGAUAGAUUGUUUCGAAGAUUACAUGUAUUAAAGAAAGCCUUUAGAAUCUGGAAAGGUAGAUUUUCAAAUUUGGCGCUUGCUAGCAAAGAUAUGGUAUUGGGUAACAAAUUAACAGUAUCUUUGGGCAAUCCGUAACAGGGGACCCCAAAAGUAUAAGAUUAGAAUAAACAAGGUUUUUAGUGAACUAAAGUAAAAAUGGCUUGAAUGCUGGCCUCCACUGUCAGCCAUCUAAAAACCUAGAAACCACAACUAACCACUUCAUGUUAGCACUUUUCUCUUAUCUAAUUAACUCACUAGUUGAGUAGUUGUAAUAAUGUGCAUAUAAAUUAUCAAACAUGGCAAAAAAUUUCCUUCCACUCAUUGAGCUUAAAAAAUAUUAUUCUGUGACAUGUUUUUCCAUCAUAACGUUAAUGUCAUUUCCUUAUUAGAAAAAUGUUGAUAUCAUUUUAAAUUACUCUUUAUUUGUUUUUUAUAAGCCAUGGUAUCAGUCACUCACGGAUCAAGCUCUAAAUUUACAUGGUUAAAAAACUUAAGUAUCUAUCAUUUAUGUCACAUAUUAUUGAUAAAUUACUCUUUAUUUAGAUUGCCAUGAAUAAGCCAUUCCAAAUUUUCUUCUUAUUUUUUUUAAAGCUUUUCUAAAGCAAUAUUGAGGGAGGAACUUGAAUUUUAUAUGUCAUUAUAACUGUCGAACAAAACUGUGAUCACAAAGUGUAACAUAAAAGACAAUGGUGGAAAAACAACAUAACUUAAAAGCUAAAAUUGCAAAUAUGAUGUAAAAUAAAGAGUGGCAUAACAAAAACUGUACUCAAAAGUACCCCUCAAAAUCACACCGAUUUUGACAGAAAAAACUCGAAUUGGUUGAAUUUGAGUUUUCCCGGCCAAUUUCAAAGACGGAUGCAGAGCGGUUUAAAUCCAUGCGAGAAUAGAGCGGUUCAAAUCCAUGCGAGAAUAGAGCGGGGAUACCUGAACUCCAUUCGGUAGAGAAUGGGAUGGAUACAAAAUACCCAAACUCCAUCAGAUUCUGGGAGGAGGGAUAUUGAAACCCGUCCCUGUUACCAUGUCUUUUAAAGAGCCGAUUCAAAGGGAGAGAAAAAAUUAAAACUGGAAGAACCGAUUCAAAAUAAGUUUCAAAUUUAAAGACAAUUCUACAUUUAUUUUAUUGAAAAUGCUAACUAACCUUAUUUUAUUAACCGUCUUAAAAAACUUUACGAGCCAAAGUAUGAAAGAAGUUUGAGUGAGUACAAAAAUUUCUAUUGUUCCCUCGCGCACGAACCCUAGCCAAACUAUCAACGCAUUUGUUUCCUCUUCCAUUGACUCANNNGCCCGCUGCUUCAUCGGCAGCAUACGCACUGCUGUGUGUGUCCCUUCCGUCACCGCUCCCUCCGUUCAUAACUCUGUACUGUGUUGCUUAUUUAGUUUGCAUUGUUUACUCCGCGUUGCUUCCAGCAUGUUGAUUAGCUUAUUACGUUCGUAACUCUGCCUUCGGCAGCCUCUUUCGCUGUUGCAUUUCAAUUAGUUCAUUUUUUCCGAGACAUUCUAUUCUCUUGGCUCACACAACAUGCAUCUUUAUUGAAUUCGAUUAAUUAUCAUUGAUCCAUCUUUAUACUUUUAUUAUUUUAUUUAGGGGAUUCUGAUAUUGAUUACCACUUCAUUUUUAUCACUGAAUUGAGGUUAUGACUUUGAGUUUGACAUCCUUNNNNNNNNNNNNNNNNNNNNNNNNNNNNNNNNNNNNNNNAGAAGAAAACUAAGCACGAGCUAUAUACAUCUAUGUGUAAAGUUUGAUUUAUUUAUUGUUAUUGGAUUGAUUUUGGACUUGUAUCUGUGUGGUGUAUCCCUUACUGGAUUAACAUAUUGGGAUUCAUAAUAUGUGAAGCACUGAAACUGACAUGACACAUGCACAGACACGACACCAGUAAUGAUUUGAAAAUUUUAACUAAUUGAAUGUAAUCACAUGUAUCAGUGUCGUGUGGGACACCGGCCUCGCCUUUGAUUAGAGGUGUCAGUGCCACAAAGUUCAUAAUAUAAUUAAAAUGGAUCUUUCACUUGAUGUAUUUCCUAUAUUUAUGCGUGUAAUCCGUGGUAAUUUUUGUGUAGCAUGGGAUUUAAACACACUAUUAUAUAGACAGGUUGAUUUUCUGUUUAGUUCUCUGUAAAAAUUUUGCAAAAAUUGACUUUUGGAGUAUGUGGAACACCGCCGUCACAUUACUUAAUUACUUAUAGUUACUUAUACUCUUGAUUUUACUCAUUUGACUUGCUAUACUGAAACUCUUGACAUUAAUUUGUUGUAGUAGUUCUGCUUUGCUUCAGUUACCAUACAAGGUAGAAGAACCAUUGAAGCAUCAUUGGGUUUUGAAAAUGAAUGGCACUUCUGCUUAAAGUGCUGGUCAUGGUUGUGGAGAGUAGAUCUUCGUGCUUACAGUGCUGUCACAAUCUGUUACUGUUGCUGCUGAUCAUGACUCUGGUUAGUUUUCUUUUUAAAAUCUUUUGUAACGUCAAUACAGAUGUGUUACGAUAAUUAAACUAGCUCGGAAGUUCAAAUUUUUGUACACUCAAGUAAAAGAAUUGUUACUAUACAAGCCUGUUAUGAGUUGGAUAUGUAACAACAAAAUUUAAGAGGUCUUGACAAAAUUUCUAUAGAAAGUCAUACUAACUGACUUAUAUAGUCAAUUUAUGAUUAUGAUUAGCCUCUAAACUUAAUCUUUGCAGAUGUUUAUCUUUUCAGAAGUAGUUAUGGAUCGUAGUUGAAUCAAUACUAAUCGUUUGUGUGAAGAGUGUGAGAAAGGAGCGGAUGAGUUUUUACAAUAUGCUUUAAAAAAACUAGAAGUUAAUGCUUUAAAACUCUAAUCAUAUAUACACAAUCAAUCAAUUAUAAUUUUGUUAAAAAAUCAAUCCAAUACAUGAUAAGCUAAUUAGUUGAUGUUAGUACAUAUAUACAUCUGCAUAAUCUUGCAUCACAAUCAAAAAGCCUCUAAAGCUGCUCCAAGUGCAAAUAUAUCACAAUCUUCAGUAUUGCACCAAGCUUGAUGAUCAUGUCCAUUUUUGCAUCCACACUCAUUCCAAUUAUUCAACCUCCUCUUAUUCUGUUUUUCCAUCUCAGCAACCGAAGUCACUUUUAUUUUAAUCUCCACUUCCACUCCUGGUGUUGUGAACAUACCCUCUUUGUAAUCACUUCCAUCCACCAAAUCCAUUUUCAACCAUUUUUUCAACUCCAUAUUUUGUGAUUCAAGAAUCACCUUCCAUGGAAUCUCACCUUUACCAAUAAGUUGUGACCCCCAUAUCUUCUUUUGCCUUAGUUCCAGUACUAGGCUUUGUUGAUUAAGGCUUUCCAAGAAUUCUUGAGGGCAAGAACAAUCUAGAUUAAAAGACUCGUCCCAAAAGGGUAAUGAUUUUGUGGAAACAUUUUUGCUAUUGAGUUGAAUUCUUUUGUUGUUUCCUGUUGGAAGAUACAACCUUGCAAACAAGUUUUUUGCGGGCUUGACGAAUUCAAU